rnacentral:lncRNA from 1 species
UCUCUCAACGCUUUUGUCUGUUGUUCUGCAAGUACAGGGCCAGUCUGCGAUGGGCCAGCAUGGUCCCAGACGCUGGGACGGACGGGACCUACCAUUCGCGCUUUAGCAGGGAGCAUCGGAUUGGCCCCGAGAGUAGGAGGGAGGCGAACGGGCAACUCAUCGGCAUGUUGGCAUUUACCAUCCUUAUCUUGCUCAGAAGCUGAAACUGUUCCUCGUACCAACUGUUUACAUAAUAAAGGAUUCGUGCUGUUAAUGGUGUGAAGUGCAUCGAAAAGUUUGCAACCUACCAGCGUGGAGAUCAAGCGUUAGUCAGAGAGGCAGGACAGAGAGC